rnacentral:rRNA from 1 species
UACGGAGGGUGCAAGCGUUAUCCGGAAUCACUGGGUUUAAAGGGUGCGUAGGCGGCUAUGUAAGUCAGUUGUGAAAUACCUCGGCUUAACCGAAGGAAGUGCGAUUGAUACUGCGUAGCUUGAAUCAGGUUGAGGUAGGCGGAAUGUGACAUGUAGCGGUGAAAUGCUUAGGUAUGUCAUAGAACACCGAUUGCGAAGGCAGCUUACUGGGCUUUGAUUGACGCUGAGGCACGAAAGCGUGGGGAGCAAACAGG